CCUCAUAAUGUGGAAUAAUUUCAGAUAUGUCUGACUUUUAAGUACUUCUUUCAAUCAGUGUCCCAAAGUUGCUGCUGUAGUUUUUGUGUUAAUAACCUGAAGAAAACUGAAUCCAAUGUGCACAGUAUUAAAAUACUUCCUGCUUUGUUUUGUAUCCUUAACACAAACUCUCCAACACAGGCAAAAAAAAAAUCUCCUCUAAUAAAUUUCCAGGUUACACCACCUGCCGACCCACCUACAGCUGGAGGCUCCUCGUCCACAAUCCUUUGCUUUCUAAUUAUUCAAAUAACAGACAGGACCGAGAGCUGUGAUUCGCCAGCCCUCUUCAAUUAGUGUUGUGUUAAUUAAAGAGCAUCAUCAGGUUCUAGUUAGUGAUUAAACACCCGAGUGUGAUUACUUAACUCAGCAGGACUCCUGACGAAUCAUCUGCCCCCUGAUCCCUCCGAUGAGUCCGCCGAACAGUUUGGACAUCGGAGACUUUUUCUUCGGCUUGUCUUUCUUCAAGUCUGAGAGACAGAAAGAGCUCCGUGCACUUCCCCCAAGUGGCAAAAAUGAAAAUUUUGGUAGCUUUUGAAAAGACUUCGGAGACUUUCAACCUUCAGUCUGGUCUUCAGCAAGAGAAACACACAAUCAGUUGGAUUGAGGUCAUGUGACUGUCGUGGCCAGUAAGUUGCCUGUAUGCAAGAGUUGCAAGAACAUUUUCAUAUUUUUAUCCUAAACCUCUCUUACUUUUUUUCUGCAAGGUCUGAUUGUACUAGUGUUAAAAGUCAGAUUCAACAAACUCUCUUAACUGCCCCCAACUUCAUGUAAAUCGCAUGUUUCAGCCUGAUGAAUGUCACCUGUUCAUGAGUAGGUGUGCGUUCGUGAGAUUUGUCAUCAGCAUAAUCAAAUGUCCAUAUAAGGCUACUUUUAUUUUAACCAUCUGGAUCCCUUUCAGCAAGGUAGCAAUGACGGGAGCCGGGCGAAGGGAUGUGACAGUCACGGAAACAUUAGAUGAGAGACUAUUACAGCCUACAGUAGGUGAUGUUACACUGUCAGGUGCAACAGAAGAUGAAACUGGACAUAAACCUGCAGAAACACCCUCAGACAGCUGUUCAAAAACAACUACUGAAAUGGAAAAGUUGCUGCGCCAAAAUAUGCCAAUAAAAAUCAUAAAAUCUAAAAAUACCUCUCAGUAAAUUGGCAGCCAUGGUGAUGAUGAUGGUGAUUGUUUUAGUUGUAUAUUUUAAAUUAAAGUCAAACAAGGCUGUUACUCUCUGUUCAGGACUCGUACGACAGGUCUGGACUGCUCAUAAAUUUCGUUUGUACCUUAGAUAAAAGUCUAAGUAUGAGAAAAUUGAUGAAUGCCACUAAUUAUCUCAAAUAAAUCGUACCUGCCUCUUAAAAACUAAUCUGUGUGUAUGAAUGGUUGCAUGAGGCUCAAUGUCCUGCUGUAUUGCUCUAAAACAAGGGGACCAAGUAUAAAAAGGGCAACAACAAUGGACACCCUUAAACCCUGAAUGUCGUGUACUGUACACAUCUGUCUG